CACGUAUUUAGCCGGUGCUUCUUACUCAGGUACCGUCAUUUUCUUCCCUGCUGAUAGAGCUUUACAUACCGAAAUACUUCUUCGCUCACGCGGCGUCGCCGCAUCAGGGUUUCCCCCAUUGUGCAAUAUUCCCCACUGCUGCCUCCCGUAGGAGUUUGGGCCGUGUCUCAGUCCCAAUGUGGCCGGCCACCCUCUCAGGUCGGCUACUGAUCGUCGCCUUGGUGGGCCUCUCCCCCGCCAACUAGCUAAUCAGACGCGGGCCCAUCCCAUACCACCGGAGUUUUUCACACCAGGCCAUGCGGCCCUUGUGCGCUUAUGCGGUUUUAGCAGCCGUUUCCGGCUGUUAUCCCCCUGUAUGGGGCAGGUUGCCCACGCGUUACUCACCCGUCCGCCACUCAGUCACAAUUCUUCUUCCCGAAGGAAUCUAAAAAGUGCUUCGUUCGACUUGCAUGUGUUAAGCACGCCGCAGCGUUCAUCCUGACGCCAGGAUCAAACUCUA
rnacentral:rRNA from 1 species